GACGAACGCUGGCGGCGUGCUUAACACAUGCAAGUCGAACGGAAAGGCCCUGCUUUUGUGGGGUGCUCGAGUGGCGAACGGGUGAGUAACACGUGAGUAACCUGCCCUUGACUUUGGGAUAACUUCAGGAAACUGGGGCUAAUACCGGAUAGGAGCUCCUGCUGCAUGGUGGGGGUUGGAAAGUUUCGGCGGUUGGGGAUGGACUCGCGGCUUAUCAGCUUGUUGGUGGGGUAGUGGCUUACCAAGGCUUUGACGGGUAGCCGGCCUGAGAGGGUGACCGGCCACAUGGGGACGGGGAUACGGCCCAGACCCCUACGGGAGGCAGCAGGGGGGAAUAUUGCAAAAGGGGCGGAAGCCUGAUGCAGCAACGCCGGGGGGGGGAUGACGGCCUUGGGGUUGUAAACCGCUUUCGCCUGGGACGAAGCGGGGGUGACGGUAAUGGGUAAAGAAACACCGGCGAACUACGG
rnacentral:rRNA from 1 species